UUCUCGGUUGCGCAGUUGGUUAUAGCGCGCUUAUCUAGAAACUAAGAGAUUGCGGGUUCGAUGCCCGCUCGUGUAC